CCUUUGCUCAUUGACGUUACCCGCAGAAGAAGCACCGGCUAACUCCGUGCCAGCAGCCGCGGUAAUACGGAGGGUGCAAGCGUUAAUCGGAAUUACUGGGCGUAAAGCGCACGCAGGCGGUUUGUUAAGUCAGAUGUGAAAUCCCCGGGCUCAACCUGGGAACUGCAUCUGAUACUGGCAAGCUUGAGUCUCGUAGAGGGGGGUAGAAUUCCAGGUGUAGCGGUGAAAUGCGUAGAGAUCUGGAGGAAUACCGGUGGCGAAGGCGGCCCCCUGGACGAAGACUGACGCUCAGGUGCGAAAGCGUGGGGAGCAAACAGGAUU
rnacentral:rRNA from 1 species